rnacentral:lncRNA from 1 species
UACAGUAUUAAUUUUUAUCAACAUCAUUUCCUUUCUUCUCUGAAGAAGUCUUCAUUUAAAUGCAAUUAACGCCACAUUAACAGACUGCUGUACAAUCUUCUCCUUCCUGCUUGAAAGGAGAAAAAUACCUGACACUAUCAUUCUGCUUAUAUUAUUAAUAUUUUCCCAAGAAACUCGACUCCCUAAUUAUUUUCUCCACUUGCCAGCUCAACUUUAUUUUGCAGCUAUA